rnacentral:rRNA from 1 species
UACAUGUGGGGCAAGCGUUGUUCGGAAUCACUGGGCAUAAAGGGUGCGUAGGUGGUAUGGUAAGUCAGGGGUGAAAGUCUGGGGCCCAACCUUAGAAUUGCCUGUGAUACUGCCGUACUUGAGUGCGUAAGGGGUAACCGGAACGAGCAGUGUAGCGGUGAAAUGCGUAGAUAUUGCUCGGAAGGCCAGAGGCGAAGGCGGGUUACUGGUGCGCAACUGACACUGAGGCACGAAAGCGUGGGGAGCAAACAGG